rnacentral:lncRNA from 1 species
AACAAAAUGGCUCACCUAUAGAGACCGCAAUACUACCUUUUUCCAUAAUAUGGCUACAGGGAAAAGGAAAUGAAAUUAUAUUAAAGGGCUUGAAGAUGAAAAUGGAAUAUGGGUCUCUGAUCAAGAUGUUGUUCUGAAAUAGCAUUCGGGUAUUUCAACAAAUUGUUCACGGCUUCUAAAGAGGGAGAGGCUUCGUGCAUAUUUGAAAAUGUACAAUGCAGGAUAUCAGACGAAAUGAAUGUAUAAUUGUUACAGUCGUUUUCUGCCGAUGAGGUUUGGAGUGUAGUCAAGGCUCUAGGGCCACUAAAGGCUUUCAGGAUUGAUGGAUUGCUUUGUUUUUCAGAGAUAUUGGCACAUAUUAGGACUGGAGGUUACUUUUUAUUGUCUUGAGGUGCUUCGAGGUGAUGUUGCGGACGAGGAUAUUAAUGCCACACAUAUUGUUU